GUGAGGAAUAUUGCGCAAUGGAGGCAACUCUGACGCAGCCAUGCCGCGUGCAGGAAGAAGGCGCUACGCGUUGUAAACUGCUUUUAACCGGGAAGAAACCCCAGGACGUGUCCUGGGUUGACGGUACCGGAGGAAUAAGCACCGGCUAACUUCGUGCCAGCAGCCGCGGUAAUACGAAGGGUGCAAGCGUUAUCCGGAUUCAUUGGGUUUAAAGGGUGCGUAGGCGGAGCGUUAAGUCAGUGGUGAAAUCCUGCAGCUUAACUGUAGACUUGCCAUUGAUACUGGCGCUCUUGAGUGCGCUUGAAGUGGGCGGAAUGUGCCGUGUAGCAGUGAAAUGCUUAGAUAUGGCACAGAACACCAAUUGCGAAGGCAGCUCACUAAGGCGAUACUGACGCUGAGGCACGAAAGCGUGGGGAUCGAACAGGAUUAGAAACCCGGGUAGUCC
rnacentral:rRNA from 1 species